AUUUAUAUAGUAUAGAAGUAUGCGUGACUUCCAAUCACGAGGCCUAAAUGUAAUUUUAGUAUAAAUA
rnacentral:tRNA from 1 species